UAUCAGUAAGCGGAGGAAAAGAAACUAACCAGGAUUCUCCUAGUAACGGCGAGUGAACGGAGAUUAGCCCAUCACCGAAGCCUAUCCGUUUUUGCGGAAAUGGCAAUGUGGUGUCAGGGUGUGUGCCUGGGACCGCUUGCUUACUCCAAGUCCGACACCGAAUACGGCUAGGAUAAUGUCCCGAGAGGGUGAUAGACCCGUGUGGGUAAGCUUGUGCAUGUAAGCGGUUCUCAGAUGCAUAUACCUGCGAGUCGGAUUGCUUGAGAAUGCAGUCCAAAGUGGGUGGUAAACUCCAUCCAAGGCUAAAUACUGGCACGAGUCCGAUAGUAGACAAGUACCGUGAGGGAAAGUUGAAAAGUACUCUGAAGAGAGAGUAAACAGUACGUGAAUCCGCUUGCAGGGAAGCUGGUGGAGUCAAGCUUCUUGCUUGGUUGUUGUGGUCAGUGUGUAUCUGUGCCUGGGCGUGGAGUCGGUCUCGCUGGAAAGGUUUGUGCUCAUUCGUGGGCAUCGAGUCUUCCCGGGCUGGAGGAUCGAGCUGGCUCCUAUCUCCUGCACCUGGCCCGGUAUCAGCCUAGCAUGGAUCACGGUGGAUGUGGCGAUGUGCUAUCAUGGUCUAACUGUAUCAUUGCCGGUAGCAAUACUUGCGUGAUGCGGGACGCAGGUGACGACGCGSCUYSCCGUUAGUCGUUUAUAGUGGUUUCGACUUGCUGAUCAUGGUCUGUGUAUUGCGAUAUCUGUCAUAUUGGGCGGUCUWUCUUCGGAUUGGCCGUCACUGA
rnacentral:rRNA from 1 species